rnacentral:rRNA from 1 species
GAGGAGUCCGCGGCCGAUUAGCUAGUUGGCGGGGUAACGGCCCACCAAGGCGAAGAUCGGUAGCCGGCCUGAGAGGGCUCACGGCCACACUGGCACUGAAACACGGGCCAGACUCCUACGGGAGGCAGCAGUGGGGAAUCUUGCACAAUGGAGGAAACUCUGAUGCAGCGACGCCGCGUGAGCGAUGAAGCCCCUCGGGGUGUAAAGCUCUUUCGACGGGAAAGAUUAUGACGGUACCCGAAGAAGAAGCUGCGGCUAACUACGUGCCAGCAGCCGCGGUAAUACGUAGGCGGCAAGCGUUGUUCGGAAUUACUGGGCGUAAAGAGUGUGUAGGCGGUGCUCUAAGUCUGUCGUGAAAUCUCCCGGCUUAACUGGGAGGGUGCGGCGGAAACUGGAGUGCUCGAGGGUGGGAGAGGAAAGCGGAAUUCCUGGUGUAGCGGUGAAAUGCGUAGAUAUCAGGAGG